rnacentral:misc_RNA from 1 species
UCCGGCUUAUCACCGGCAGUUCUCUCAGAGUUCCCAGCAUUACCUGAUGGCAACAGAGAGUGGGGGUUGCGCUCGUUGCGGGACUUAACCCAACAUCUCACGACACGAGCUGACGACAGCCAUGCAGCACCUGUGUUCUAGCCAGCCAAACUGAAGGAAAGCAUUUCUGCGAUCCAAACUAGACAUGUCAAGGCCUGGUAAGGUUCUUCGCGUUGCCUCGAAUUAAACCACAUGCUCCACCGCUUGUGCGGGUCCCCGUCAAUUCCUUUGAGUUUUAAUCUUGCGACCGUACUCCCCAGGCGGAAGACUUAAUGCGUUAGCUGCGCCACUGACCCCUAUGGGGCCAACAGCUAGUCUUCAUCGUUUACAGCGUGGACUAC